GUACUCGCCCGGAUUCUACUAUUUUUCGGUACUCACACUGAUUCGACCCUUUUUCGGUACUCGCGCGGACACUCUCUCGAUACUCGGACGGAUUCUAACUUUUCCGGGUACUCGCCCAGAUUCUACUAAUUUUCGGUACUCACACUUAUUCGACCCUGUUCCGGUACUCGCCCGCAUAGUUUUUCCAUACUCCCACGGAUUCUACCUUUUCCUGCUACUCGCCCGGAUUCUACUAUUUUUCGGU
rnacentral:lncRNA from 1 species